rnacentral:rRNA from 1 species
CCUAGUACGGCGAGUGAACAGGCAAGAGCUCAGAUUUGAAAGGCACUUUUGUGCCGUUGUAUUCUGAAGUUAGGGUCCUGAGAAACGAUGCUUAAGUCUUCUGGAAAGGAGCGCCAUGGAGGGUGAUAGCCCCGUCUAGCAUUGACCUCAUAUAGGAUCUUAACAUGGAGUCGAGUUGUUUGGGAAUGCAGCUCAAAUGGGUGGUAUGCUCCAUCUAAAGCUAAAUAUCUGCGAGAGACCGAUAGUAAACAAGUACUGUGAGGGAAAGAUGAAAAGAACUUUGAAAAGAGAGUGAAAAAGUACGUGAAAUUGUUGAAAUGGAAGGGUAGGCCGCUAACCAUGUAGAGCCGUGUUUGGGGGGAAGAUAAAUGCUGUAGAAUGUAGCUCCUCGGAGUAUUAUAGAUGCAGUUCAUAUUCCCACCCGAGCGCGAGGAUCUCAGGUUCUACUAAAUGGUGGUCUACCACCCGUCUUGAAACACGGACCAAAA